rnacentral:rRNA from 1 species
AAAGUUAUGUUCUUUAAAUUUAAAAAAUUUGGCGGUGUUUUAGUCUAGUUAGAGGAACCUGUGUUAUAAACGAUAUAACACGCAUUAUUUUACUUAUUUUAGUAGAUCAGCUUGUAUACCGUCAUUAUAAGAUAAUUUAGGAGAGAAUAUUAUUGAGAUCAUAUUAUUGAGUAUAUUAGAUCAAGGUGCAGCUUAUGGGUAAGUAAACAUGGGUUACAAUAAAAUUUAUUUAAUAUGAAUUAAGUGUUUAAACAUAUUUAUGAAGGAGGAUUUAAUUGUAAGGGGGGAGUAGAGAGCUUUU